CAGCCGCCGCGGUAACACGAAGGGUGCAAGCGUUACUCGGAAUUACUGGGCGUAAAGCGUGCGUAGGUGGUGGUUUAAGUCCGUUGUGAAAGCCCUGGGCUCAACCUGGGAAUUGCAGUGGAUACUGGGUCACUAGAGUGUGGUAGAGGAUAGUGGAAUUUCCGGUGUAGCAGUGAAAUGCGUAGAGAUCGGAAGGAACAUCUGUGGCGAAGGCGACUAUCUGGGCCAACACUGACACUGAGGCACGAAAGCGUGGGGAGCAAACAGGAUUAGAUACCCGCGUAGUCCCUGUCUCUUAUAC
rnacentral:rRNA from 1 species